rnacentral:rRNA from 1 species
AGCUCUCCGAGUGGUGUGGAUGUUUAUUGGGCCUAAAGCAUCCGUAGCUGGCCAAGUUAGUCCCUUGUUAAACCCACCGAAUUAAUCGUUGGCGUGCGGGGGAUACUGCUCGGCUAGGGGACGGGAGAGGCAGACGGUAUUCUCGGGGUAGGGGUGAAAUCCUAUAAUCCCGAGAAGACCACCAGUGGCGAAGGCUGUCUGCUAGAACGCGCCCGACGGUGAGGGAUGAAAGCUGGGGGAGCGAACC